rnacentral:rRNA from 1 species
UACGAAGGGUGCUAGCGUUGUUCGGAAUCACUGGGCGUAAAGCGCACGUAGGCGGCUUUGUAAGUUAGAGGUGAAAGCCCGGGGCUCAACUCCGGAAUUGCCUUUAAGACUGCAUCGCUAGAACGUCGGAGAGGUAAGUGGAAUUCCGAGUGUAGAGGUGAAAUUCGUAGAUAUUCGGAAGAACACCAGUGGCGAAGGCGACUUACUGGACGACUGUUGACGCUGAGGUGCGAAAGCGUGGGGAGCAAACAGG